rnacentral:rRNA from 1 species
UACGGCAGCGGCAGACGGGAUAGUAACACGUGGGAACGCGCCCUUCGGUUCGGAAUAACUCAGGGAAACUUGAGCUAAUACCGGAUACGCCCUUACGGGGAAAGAUUUAUUGCCGAAGGAACGGCCCGCGUCCGAUUAGCUAGUUGGUGAGGUAAUGUCUCACCAAGGCGACGAUCGGUAGCUGGUCUGAGAGGAUGACCAGCAUCACUGGGACUGAGACACGGCCCAG